AUGAACGCUGGCGGCGUGCCUAACACAUGCAAGUCGAGCGGGAUUUUCCGGAUUGAAACUUCGGUCGAAAGAAGGAAAUGAGAGCGGCGGACGGGUGAGUAACGCGUAGGCAACCUGCCCCUUGCAGAGGGAUAGCCACUGGAAACGGUGAUUAAUACCCCGUAAUAUUAUGAAAGGCAUCUUUUAUAGUUGAAAGUUCCGGCGGUUAUGGAUGGGCAUGCGUUGUAUUAGCUAGUUGGUGAGGUAACGGCCCACCAAGGCGACGAUACAUAGGGGGACUGAGAGGUUAACCCCCCACAUUGGUACUGAGACACGGACCAAACUCCUACGGGAGGCAGCAGUGAGGAAUAUUGGUCAAUGGACGCAAGUCUGAACCAGCCAUGCCGCGUGCAGGAUGACGGCUCUAUGAGUUGUAAACUGCUUUUGUAUGAGGGUAAAAUUGGGUACGUGUACCCAACUGCAAGUAUCAUACGAAUAAGGAUCGGCUAACUCCGUG
rnacentral:rRNA from 1 species